UACGGGGGGGGCAAGCGUUGUUCGGAAUUACUGGGCGUAAAGGGCUCGUAGGUGGCCAACUAAGUCAGACGUGAAAUCCCUCGGCUUAACCGGGGAACUGCGUCUGAUACUGGAUGGCUUGAGUUUGGGAGAGGGAUGCGGAAUUCCAGGUGUAGCGGUGAAAUGCGUAGAUAUCUGGAGGAAUACCGGUGGCGAAGGCGGCAUCCUGGACUAACACUGACGCUGAGGCGCGAAAGCUAGGGGAGCAAACGGG
rnacentral:rRNA from 1 species